AUCCAGCUGAAGAAUCCUAAAUAUGACGGAACGUGCGUGCUGGAU
rnacentral:hammerhead_ribozyme from 1 species